UCAUCGGCUGUAUAACUGCAACCAACCAUAAACAAUCCCAAUUGUGAAAAUAGAAUAAACCAUCAAUAAUCAACCAAAGUCUACAUGAGAAUAUGUAAUAUAGAAUUUUCCCCAAUCUUGGUAGGAUGCCUUGGUCUAACUUCCUACUAAAGUAGAAAUUAACUCACCCACUCUUUGUUAUUAUGCACUUCAUUCCAGCAGCUUUGGCAGCUGCAAGACCUAUGGCACUGUCCUCUACCACAACGCAACUGUAGAGAAUGAAUAAAUGUU